ACGAGGAUGAGGAUGAGUGCCACGGUGUGUCCCUGCCCUUCAGACAGAGCCUGCCUUGCCGUAAAUCAGAACUGAACCACAGCAACAUGCUCAUUUUCACCUCAGGUGUGCUUCAGAUGUGGAGGGAUGCUUUGAUUCCUUGGAUCAGUAAUACUGGGGAGCAUUGCAGGCUUGAAGAACACGAGACCUGGAGCAGAAAGGCACGGAUCUCUGUUUUUCUCCCAGAAAUACCGUGUAAAACUGGCAGAGUCUGUGGAUCACCCUCUCUCUCCCCACAAAUUGCCUUUCUUUUCUUUGAAAAACUCGAUGGCAGGUGCAGAGACCUCAGUACCACACUCUAUUUGUAGUGGGAGUCAGGAUUUAUCUAUCUGUAUUCUAUUUAUUUGGGUUUAUCUAUCUGUAUUCUAUUUAUUUGGGUUUUAUCUAUUUAUCUGUUUGUGGUAGGGUCAGGAGCUGAGCAGGCUCCAGCUGUUUGGGGUUUCUUACAGGGGAAGAACAACUUUGUUGUCCUGACCCGUUCUGCUACCUCUGCUUCUCCCUGGAGCACCCCAAAACUCCUGAUUCUUACACAGCUGAGGCAGCAAGCUUCAGGCCCCAAGCCCUGGGUAAGAACCGGUCAUUUUGGGUAAAGAGCAGCAGGGAGGAGAGUAUCAAACUGAAACAAGAGGUCAGAGCCUCUCCAGGUAAUAGGCCCGGGGGCGUUGCUGCACAAUUGAAGUAUCAGUGCAAUUUUAAUGCAAUUUGUUCUGUGUGGAAAGUCCAGGGAGGAAAUGUUCCUUUCCCCUGGGCUGAGAGGAGAAGCUGGAGGCUGCUUGCUCUGUGCUCAAGGCCAGGUCACUCGCUCUCCAUGUGGAGGAUGAUUGCUUUCUGCAGCUCAGUGAAUCACAGUACGCUCAGCGCCGGGGCAAUGUGAAAUUUCUAUAGUUCCGAUUUAAUGCAUUUCGGCCUUGGAGAAUGAGCUGCGGUCGCCUCUUCUCUUAGCAGACCCGUGUGUCCUUGCCUACCACGCUCCACUCUCCUGGAUACCAAAUGGCUUCAUCAUUCCGGCUGCUAAUGAAACCGGAAUUGAAUUAAUGGGAACAUGUGUGCCGGUCAGGAGAGGGCUGGACCACAAAGCGCCUCAUUUCUCAACGAGUUUAUCUUUCCAUUAAUCAUCUGUUGGUCACCAGAGAGCAGAAUUCCUCUGCAUUCAAACAGAUCUGCCGGGGACAGCAGACAAGGACUCUGCUCUGCUGGACCACGAGGGAGUUUUAACAACUUCUGAAAUCUGCGUUCUGGCCAAGGCCGGCCCAGAUCUCUCAGGAUCACUGGGACAGCCUAAACAGACAUUUUAUUGUCAGCAGUAUGGUGGCUGGGGAACCGGUGACCUCCGAGAUUUUGUCCCUCCCCUGGAGAGCUUCUCCCUCGGCGAGACACUUUAUCUCAUGGAGAGAAAAAGUGUCACUCCCAGAGCCCCUAGAGCUGAACAUGUUAAUUUGUUCCACCCCAUUGGUUUCCCUCCCUAUCAAUCCCCCCCGAUACCUGUAUCCCAGUUUCCCCUCCCCUCUCCCUCCCCAUAAAUAUCCCGGUUUUUCCCCAUUUUGGUGAGCUGCUGUCACUGGCUCCCUUCACUGAGGGCCCUGCUAUAAUAAAGGCUGUUUCUCAGUGGAAUGCCA